AGGGCGCACGGUGGAUGCCUUGGCACUAGAAGCCGAUGAAGGACGUUACUAACGACGAUAUGCUUUGGGGAGCUGUAAGUAAGCUUUGAUCCAGAGAUUUCCGAAUGGGGAAACCCAGCAUGAGUUAUGUCAUGUUAUCGAUAUGUGAAUACAUAGCAUAUCAGAAGGCACACCCGGAGAACUGAAACAUCUUAGUACCCGGAGGAAGAGAAAGAAAAUUCGAUUCCCUUAGUAGCGGCGAGCGAAACGGGAAGAGCCCAAACCAACAAGCUUGCUUGUUGGGGUUGUAGGACACUCUAUACGGAGUUACAAAGGACGACAUUAGACGAAUCAUCUGGAAAGAUGAAUCAAAGAAGGUAAUAAUCCUGUAGUCGAAAAUGUUGUCUCUCUUGAGUGGAUCCUGAGUACGACGGAGCACGUGAAAUUCCGUCGGAAUCUGGGAGGACCAUCUCCUAAGGCUAAAUACUCUCUAGUGACCGAUAGUGAACCAGUACCGUGAGGGAAAGGUGAAAAGCACCCCGGAAGGGGAGUGAAAUAGAACCUGAAACCGUGUGCUUACAAGUAGUCAGAGCCCGUUAAUGGGUGAUGGCGUGCCUUUUGUAGAAUGAACCGGCGAGUUACGAUUUGAUGCAAGGUUAAGCAGUAAAUGUGGAGCCGUAGCGAAAGCGAGUCUGAAUAGGGCGUUUAGUAUUUGGUCGUAGACCCGAAACCAGGUGAUCUACCCUUGGUCAGGUUGAAGUUCAGGUAACACUGAAUGGAGGACCGAACCGACUUACGUUGAAAAGUGAGCGGAUGAACUGAGGGUAGCGGAGAAAUUCCAAUCGAACCUGGAGAUAGCUGGUUCUCUCCGAAAUAGCUUUAGGGCUAGCCUCAAGUGAUGAUUAUUGGAGGUAGAGCACUGUUUGGACGAGGGGCCCCUCUCGGGUUACCGAAUUCAGACAAACUCCGAAUGCCAAUUAAUUUAACUUGGGAGUCAGAACAUGGGUGAUAAGGUCCGUGUUCGAAAGGGAAACAGCCCAGACCACCAGCUAAGGUCCCAAAAUAUAUGUUAAGUGGAAAAGGAUGUGGCGUUGCCCAGACAACUAGGAUGUUGGCUUAGAAGCAGCCAUCAUUUAAAGAGUGCGUAAUAGCUCACUAGUCGAGUGACACUGCGCCGAAAAUGUACCGGGGCUAAACAUAUUACCGAAGCUGUGGAUUGUCCUUUGGACAAUGGUAGGAGAGCGUUCUAAGGGCGUUGAAGCAUGAUCGUAAGGACAUGUGGAGCGCUUAGAAGUGAGAAUGCCGGUGUGAGUAGCGAAAGACGGGUGAGAAUCCCGUCCACCGAUUGACUAAGGUUUCCAGAGGAAGGCUCGUCCGCUCUGGGUUAGUCGGGUCCUAAGCUGAGGCCGACAGGCGUAGGCGAUGGAUAACAGGUUGAUAUUCCUGUACCACCUAUAAUCGUUUUAAUCGAUGGGGGGACGCAGUAGGAUAGGCGAAGCGUGCGAUUGGAUUGCACGUCUAAGCAGUAAGGCUGAGUAUUAGGCAAAUCCGGUACUCGUUAAGGCUGAGCUGUGAUGGGGAGAAGACAUUGUGUCUUCGAGUCGUUGAUUUCACACUGCCGAGAAAAGCCUCUAGAUAGAAAAUAGGUGCCCGUACCGCAAACCGACACAGGUAGUCAAGAUGAGAAUUCUAAGGUGAGCGAGCGAACUCUCGUUAAGGAACUCGGCAAAAUGACCCCGUAACUUCGGGAGAAGGGGUGCUCUUUAGGGUUAACGCCCAGAAGAGCCGCAGUGAAUAGGCCCAAGCGACUGUUUAUCAAAAACACAGGUCUCUGCUAAACCGUAAGGUGAUGUAUAGGGCUGACGCCUGCCCGGUGCUGGAAGGUUAAGAGGAGUGGUUAGCUUCUGCGAAGCUACGAAUCGAAGCCCCAGUAAACGGCGGCCGUAACUAUAACGGUCCUAAGGUAGCGAAAUUCCUUGUCGGGUAAGUUCCGACCCGCACGAAAGGCGUAACGAUUUGGGCACUGUCUCAACGAGAGACUCGGUGAAAUCAUAGUACCUGUGAAGAUGCAGGUUACCCGCGACAGGACGGAAAGACCCCGUGGAGCUUUACUGUAGCCUGAUAUUGAAAUUCGGCACAGCUUGUACAGGAUAGGUAGGAGCCUUUGAAACGUGAGCGCUAGCUUACGUGGAGGCGCUGGUGGGAUACUACCCUAGCUGUGUUGGCUUUCUAACCCGCACCACUUAUCGUGGUGGGAGACAGUGUCAGGCGGGCAGUUUGACUGGGGCGGUCGCCUCCUAAAAGGUAACGGAGGCGCUCAAAG
rnacentral:rRNA from 1 species